AAGUAGUGUGACAUGCCCGUUUAGUGUUAAACUCUGAUGUAUUAUUUAUUAUUUAAUUGUUUGGGAUAAUGGGGUGUUACAAUCAU
rfam:Medicago truncatula strain A17 chromosome 5, whole genome shotgun sequence.